UACGUAGGGUGCAGGCGUUAAUCGGAAUUACUGGGCGUAAAGGGUGCGCAGGCGGUCUAUUAAGACAGGUGUGAAAUCCCCGGGCUUAACCUGGGAACUGCGCUUGUAACUGGUAGGCUGGAGUGUGGCAGAGGGGGGUGGAAUUCCACGUGUAGCAGUGAAAUGCGUAGAGAUGUGGAGGAACACCGAUGGCGAAGGCAGCCCCCUGGGCUAACACUGACGCUCAAGCACGAAAGCGUGGGGAGCAAACAGG
rnacentral:rRNA from 1 species